rnacentral:rRNA from 1 species
UACGUAGGUGGCGAGCGUUGUCCGGAUUUACUGGGCGUAAAGAGCGCGCAGGCGGUCGUACAAGUCGCGUGUGAAAGCCCCCGGCUCAACUGGGGAGGGUCACGCGAUACUGUUCGACUCGAAGGCAGGAGAGGGAAGUGGAAUUUCCGGUGUAGCGGUGAAAUGCGUAGAUAUCGGAAGGAACAUCAGUGGCGAAAGCGACUUCCUGGACCAGUACCGACGUCAGGCACGAAAGCGUGGGGAGCAAACAGG